AUGAACGCUGGCGGCGUGCCUAACACAUGCAAGUCGAACGGAAGAUUAUCGCUGAUGAAGCUUCGGCAGAAUCCUGAUGAUCUUUAGUGGCGGACGGGUGAGUAGCGCGUGGGCAACCUGCCUCGUACUGGGGGAUAACAGCUGGAAACGACUGUUAAUACCGCAUAAGCGCACGGUGUCGCAUGACACAGUGUGAAAAACUCCGGUGGUACGAGAUGGGCCCGCGUCAGAUUAGCCAGUUGGUGGGUAACGGCCUACCAAAGCAACGAUCUGUAGCCGGACUGAGAGGUCGGACGGCCACAUUGGGACUGAGACACGGCCCAAACUCCUACGGGAGGCAGCAGUGGGGGAUAUUGCACAAUGGGCGAAAGCCUGAUGCAGCGACGCCGCCGUGAGUGAAGAAGUAUUUCGGUAUGUAAAGCUCUAUCAGCAGGGAAGAAAGACCCAUUAAGGGAGAUGACGGUACCUGACUAAGAAGCCCCGGCUAACUACGUGCCAGCCGCCGC
rnacentral:rRNA from 1 species